rnacentral:rRNA from 1 species
GACGAACGCUGGCAGCGUGCUUAACACAUGCAAGUCGAACGAAGAGCGAUGGAAGCUUGCUUCUAUCAAUCUUAGUGGCGCACGGGUGAGUAACGCGUAAUCAACCUGCCCUUCAGAGGGGGACAACAGUUGGAAACGACUGCUAAUACCGCAUACGAUCUAAUCUCGGCAUCGAGGAUAGAUGAAAGGUGGCCUCUACAUGUAAGCUAUCACUGAAGGAGGGGAUUGCGUCUGAUUAGCUAGUUGGAGGGGUAACGGCCCACCAAGGUGAUGAUCAGUAGCCUGUCUGAGAGGAUGAACGGCCACAUUGGGACUGAGACACGGCCCAGACUCCUACGGGAGGCAGCAGUGGGGAAUCUUCCGCAAUGGACGAAAGGCUGACGGAGCAACGCCGCGUGAGUGAUGACGGCCUUCGGGUUGGAAAGCUCUGUUAAUCGGGACGAAAGGCCUUCUUGCUAAUAGUGAGAAGGAUUGACGGUACCGGAAUAGAAAGCCACGGCUAACUACGUG